CUGCAGUGUUCUGCGAGUGUCUUAGAGGGCGAUGGUGCCCAUUCCGUCACAGUGAUCCAGAGCUGCUGAAGCAAAAGUUGCAGUCAUACAAGAUCUCUCCUGGAGGGAUAAGCCAGAUUUUGGAUUUAGUAAAGGGGACACAUUACCAGGUAGCCUGUCAAAAAUACUUUGAGAUGAUACACAAUGUGGAUGAUUGUGGCUUUUCUUUGAAUCAUCCUAAUCAGUUCUUUUGUGAGAGCCAAAGUAUUCUAAAUGGUGGUAAAGACAUAAAGAAGGAACCUAUCCAACCAGAAACUCCUCAACCCAAACCAAGUGUCCAGAAAACCAAGGAUGCAUCAUCUGCUCUGGCCUCUUUAAAUUCCUCUCUGGAAAUGGAUAUGGAAGGACUAGAAGAUUACUUUAGUGAAGAUUCUUAGGCAGUUUUCUAACCCAUUUUCCUCAAUAGCCUGUUUCCUGUUUUUAAGAUUUUGCCUUUGUUGUUGAAAAAGGGUUUCACUCUGUCACCAAGGCUUAGUGCAGUGACACAAUUACAGCUGAUUGCAGCCUUGACCUUCCCAGCUCAGGUGAUCCUGCUACCUCAGCCUCCCAAGUAGUUGGGACCACAGGUGUGUACCCCAUAUCCAACUAAUUUUUUUCAAUUUUUUUUUGUAGAGGUGAGGGUCUCCCUAUGUUGCCCAGGCAGAUCUCAGACUCCUGGACUCAAGCGAUCCUCACACCUCAGCCUCCCAGAGUGCUGGGAUUACAGUUGUGAGCCACUGUGCCUGGUCUUUCUUUUUUUAACCUUUUUGUUUAACUUCUCUCUUCAUUGCAUCCCAAUCCAUCUACAGGCAUGCACACUUAUUAGGAAAGCAGGUUUGAGGUAACAACAGAGACUUUCACUAUAUUUUACUUUGACAGAAGGAAAGAGGAAGAGUUUCUAUUAAAAUCUGUCAUUUGAGUGAUGUCAUUUAAGUCCUAUUUUAGGAGAUAAAAACAGCUUUGGGGACUGGUUAAAGUCCCCCAGAAACUACAAUAAAGAAUAACUUUUGUUUUAACUCUUAAUCACUUUGUAAUUUUGACUCAAUCCUUUUCUGGACCAUUUUUGUUAAUAAAUG
rnacentral:lncRNA from 1 species